rnacentral:rRNA from 1 species
UACGAAGGGGGCUAGCGUUGUUCGGAAUUACUGGGCGUAAAGGGCGCGUAGGCGGUGUGUCAAGUCAGGCGUGAAAGCCCCGGGCUCAACCUGGGAACAGCGCUUGAGACUGGCACGCUCGAGUUCGGGAGAGGAUGGUGGAAUUCCCAGUGUAGAGGUGAAAUGCGUAGAUAUUGGGAGGAACACCAGUGGCGAAGGCGGCUCACUGGACCGGAACUGACGCUGAGGCGCGAAAGCGUGGGGAGCAAACAGG